CGUGUACUACCUCCGUCUCGAAUUACUUGUCCUAGAUUUGUUUUAGUAUAGUUUUGGCAUGUUUUAGUAUUAGAUACAUCUGUAUCUAGACAAAUCUGAGACAAGUAAUUUGGGACGGAGGUAAUACUUG
rnacentral:pre_miRNA from 1 species